rnacentral:lncRNA from 1 species
GCUUUUGUGUAAAUGUACUUGAACCCCAGCUGUGUAUGACUAAAAAUGAGUGAGAUGAAUAGGCUCUCUGUACUAUUUAUGUUUGUGUAUGUGUACGUGCUGUGUGUUUUACACAUCUGUGUGUACAUUUAUUUGUAAUUACUGAAAUAUGUGGAAGUGUGACGUAAGUGUGUGCGUCUAUUUGCCAUAUGUCCAGUCUCACGCUGUAUGUUUACCUUAUGUCUCUUAUGUGCAGAGGUUUUGAGAGCUCAUGCCUGAGGAUUUGAAGUACAGCAUGAUGGAAACCGACAACACUUCCCUCCCUUGGUGUCUCUUUCUCCCCUCAUCCCUGCCGUUUCCCUCUGCUGCUGCUACAUUCGCAAAGAUCAGAAAUCCGCAGUGAGGGAGGAUUAGGAUUUAGACUAACCAGUGAACGACGUUCCCCUGCUGAGUUCCUAUAAAUCUGUGACUGUCCAUUAAUGUAGGUUGGUUUGUUGGUAAACUAUGUCAUACCCUGCAUUUGAUGUCUUUACUGCUUGUAAUCUGAUUCCUCUGAUGUGGUGUGAUUUGCGCAGAACUGACUGAAGAAAUGGAUUCCUUUUGGGAGAGAAGACCAGCUGAGGGGUCAAAGGUCAGGAUCAGACACCCUCCCCUGCAGCCCUACAGGAGGGUCGGGCAGAUUCUCAGCCAUUAAAAUGGGUAGGGAUGGAAAAGCUUCACGGUCCACUGACCUCCCAUGACCCUGUCUCCUCAUCUGCCCUCUGGACCUAGUGUCGGGAAGUAAAGUCAUCCACAGUGAUUUAUCAGGUCUGUUGGGGGCCAGUCAUUUUCUCUAUCUCUUUACCUUGUCUGUCUUUUCUGUCACUGUUUAUCUUUCUCCCAUUAGUCAUGGUAGCGUCUCUGUCCCUCUGUCAGCUCAAUUAAGCGUGUUUGCACUCAGACAGAGUCUCUGUUGCAGGCCUCUUUGUUCUUUCUUUUCAUUUAAUAUGGAGUAAUAUAAGUUUAUUGCACAGCUCUCUGGAAUCCUUGUUUCUGAUUGGUCAAUCGCAACAUUCCAUGGUAAAAUAUUUUCAUAAUGAUUUCUAAACUGUACACUUGAAAACUGUACACACCAGUCACCUGUGCUAGUAUCUCAUAGUCUCUUUCUUCAAAUAUAAUAAAGUAAUCUAAACUUGAAUCAAUAUAUAAUGUCCAUUAUUUAUUAAAAAAAAGUGAGACGGGGUAUAAUAGUUUCUUCAGCUAUGAGCACUUUUCCCAGCAAGUUGUGAUGUUAAAGAAGAAGCGACAGAUUUUUUGUUUGUUUUUGGCGUACAUCCAAAUUAAAUGGAUUAUUUAAAAAGAAAAGAGUGUAGGGUGGUUGUUGAUCUGAAUGCAAACUCUGGUGAAGUCUGGUAUAUGGAACAACGGUCUGUCAGUCACUCAUAUUUCAAUAAAAAAUGAUGCUAAAAAAAAUUUAUAAUGAUGGUAUAAUUGUGUGUAUUAAGGACAUAUAAAGUGCUAGCAAUGAAAUCAGAUCAUCCAAAACAAAGAAAUCUAUACUCGCAGGCACACAAAAGGAUAAGUCUGGAAGUCCAGUUAUUAUCUCUGCUCCAUAUAUAAAUCUCUCAUUCUCUAUUCUGUGUUGUCCCAAUGACUCAUAUUAUUGAGCCUCCUACUGCAUACUGAGAGAGGACUCAGAAAUAAUAGUCCAGGCCAGCAAGCUGU